rnacentral:rRNA from 1 species
GGCUGUUGCUGGUCCCCUCGGGGGUAUGUGCACGCUUGUCAUCUUUAUAAUUUCUCCAACCUGUGCACACACUUGUAGACCCUGAAUGAAUUUCUAUUCGAGUUGGGGACUGCUGCGCUCACAAUUAAAAGCCGGCUUUCCCUUGUAUUUUUCAGGUCUAUGUCAUUUUUUCACAACCUCUAGAACAUGUUUAGAAUGUUGAAUCAGGUCUUUGUACCUAUAAUAAAAGUUAUAUACAACUUUCAGCAACGGAUCUCUUGGCUCUCGCAUCGAUGAAGAACGCAGCGAAAUGCGAUAAGUAAUGUGAAUUGCAGAAUUCAGUGAAUCAUCGAAUCUUUGAACGCAUCUUGCGCUCCUUGGUAUUCCGAGGAGCAUGCCUGUUUGAGUGUCAUUUGACUUCUCUCAACCACAUCGUCUUUUCGAUUGUGGCUUGGAUGUGGGGGGAUUUGCAGGCUAACUAACUGACAAGCCGGCUCCCCUGAAAUGCAUUAGUGGUAAUCUGAGCUGCUAUUGGUGUGAUAAUUUAUCUAUGCCUUUGGUACAGGACCGCUUAUAAACAACACAAAAAAUCAUUUGACAAAUUUGACCUCAAAUCAGGUAGGACUACCCGCUGAACUUAAGCAUAUCAAUAAGCGGANGAAGUNNUGGUC